rnacentral:rRNA from 1 species
CGAUAGCGUAUAUUAAAGUUGUUGCGGUAAAAAAGCUCGUAGUUGGAUUUCUACCGAAGAUAGCCGGUCGGGUCUUCGACCUUGUAUCUGGUUUUGUCUUUGGUAUCCUCAUAGGGAACGUUUCUGCGCUUUAUUGCGUGGUGCGGUAUCUAUGACUUUUACUUUGAGGAAAUUAGAGUGUUCACGGCAGGCAAACGCCUUGAAUAUAUUAGCAUGGAAUAAUAACAUAGGAUCUUCGUCCUAUUUUGUUGGUUUCUAGGGCUAAGAUAAUGAUUAAUAGGGAUAAUUGGGGGCAUCUGUAUCAACGCGUCAGAGGUGGAAUUCUUGGAUUGCGUUGCGACAAACUACUGCGAAAGCACUUGCCAAGGAUGUUUUCAUUGA